CUCCAUCGACCAUCAGACUGUAUUUCAUCACAGUUCUCCGUCUCCUUCACGACCAUUGAUUCAGAGAUUUUUUUGCAGGUUGCAUUUCUCUUCCCCUUCCGAAUUCAACUUAAAAUGUGAUACGAGCUGCGGCUCGAAUAUCUGACAGAGUGCUAGGGAUUUGAUUCGGCUCGAAUAUUUUGGCUAGGGAUUUUCAAAUAUGCUAUGUGUUUCUUUAGCAAGGCUUUAAACUUGUUGGAAAAAUUCUUGUCAAAAUGACCAUUGAUUGAAUUGCCAACUGUCCCUCUUGAAGGGAAAUCACCACCACGAAUCAGUAAUAUGUGGCACAUUACACUAAUAGCUAAUGAGCUUAUACAAUUGGGGAACUACAACAAAAUAGAGGCGUAUGUAUCUUGUAUACUAAACUACUAAAGUUUGACAAAUCUUCAUAUUUAGUACACAAGAGUUGAGCAUUUUGAAGCAAUCGCUCAUACUUACAGCUUGUUGAUGCUGUUUUCGCGAACUAAGAAAUCCAGCCAUGAGUCUCUGAUCAGAGGCUUCCAGCUUGCAUUUUCAUUGAGGAGCAUUUCACUUAGUGGAGAAGAUAAGUAUUUAAAGACAAAGAAAAUCAGAGAAGCAAAAGAAGCUGCACGUAGAUCAAAGAUAACUAAGAUACAGGAAAAGUUGCAGAUGAGAAUUGAAUAACAAAGCAAGCAGUUGAAGAUGAUAUUUGAUCAGCAGCAGAAGACAAUCAAGAGCUUGCUAUAGCCUCAGAAUUCAUGCAUAACAUCACCCGAGGAUGAUCUACUAAUCUCUCGGAUUCAGGUUGAGGACUUUGUGUCUGGGGGAAGAAUUUUCCAUUCCUUAGACUAUGAUGGUGAAUUUGCAGUUCCCUUGGGAGAGGAUGGAAACCUGCAACUGCUCAGCUUCAUUGAUGGUUGUUCAAACUAAUCAGAGCCCUAUUGUGAAGCCUGCAAGAGCAAAUUCAUGGUUGACAGAAUCAAACAGCCUGUCUAAUACCUAGAACCAUUACUUGUCACACGGCUCUUCCCCGGUUGAGUCGUUGUUAGAUCCACGAUUCAAAAGCUAUGGUGCUUGUGAACCAGAACCAGCCUCCUUUGGUUUUGGACUGCAAUGGUAGUGUUCCCAGGGUGCCUGAACUUGAUCAGGGGACAUCGGUGAUUGGCAGUCUUGUAAAGGGGCCUAGCUAUCAUAUUUUUUAUGUCCAUAGUUACAAAGAUGUCAAAUAUGGUUUUUUAUGUAAAAGUACUUUUUAGUUAUGUAUGUAAUUCAAAUAAUAUGUAGACUUUUGUACUUGAAUAUUGUUUGGUGUUAUUAUUUGAAAAAUAUUGUUAUAAUUGAUUUUCUUUUAAA